rnacentral:rRNA from 1 species
AGAGCGUAGGGAGAAUGACUUGGCAUCAGGAACCGAAGAAGGACGUGACAAGCUGCGAUAAGCUGCGGUUAGGAGCAAAUAUCCAUAGACCCGCAGAUUUCCGAAUGGGGAAACCCGUCAGGACAAUAUCCUGACACUGUACAGUGAAUCCAUAGCUGUAUGGAGGAGACCCUCUGAACUGAAACAUCUAAGUAGGAGGAGGAAAAGAAAGAAACAUCGAUUUCCUAAGUAGCGGCGAGCGAAAGGGAAAGAGGCCAAACCGAGGAUAGCAAUAUCUUCGGGGUUGCGGACUGCAUAAUUGAUUCUGAGUUUUUAGCAGAAGCUUCUGGGAAGGAGCGCCAUAGUGGGUAACAGCCCCGUAAGCGAAAGGGACGAAGACAAGGCAGAAUCCAGAGUACCACCGGACACGAGGAACCCGAUGGGAAGCCGGGGGGACCACCCCCCAAGCCUAAAUAUUACCUGAUGACCGAUAGAGCAACCAGUACAGUGAUGGAAAGUUGAAAAGAACCCCGGGAGGGGAGUGAAAUAGAAUCUGAAACCCUAUGUUUACAAGCUGCUAAAGCACCAUACGAGUGCGAUAGCGUACUUUUUGUAGAACGGUCCAGCGAGUGUAUGUUGCAGGCGAGGUUAAGAUGUUAAGCAUCGGAGCCGAAGGGAGACCGAGUGUUAAUAGCGCGAAGAGUCUGCAGUAUACGACCCGAAACCGGGUGACCUAACCAUGGACAGGCUGAAGUGGAAGUAAAAUUCCAUGGAGGGCCGAACCCACGUAUGUUGAAAAAUGCGGGGAUGAGCUGUGGUUAGCGGUGAAAUUCCAAUCGAACUCGGAUAUAGCUGGUUCUCAUCGAAAUAGCUUUAGGGCUAGCCUCGGAAUAGUCUAGCGGAGGUAAAGCACUGAAUGAAGGAGGGGGCUUCACGGUCUACCAAAUUCUAUCAAACUCUGAAUGCCGCAUAGAUGUUUUCCGGGAGUCAGACUGCGUGAGAUAAGUUUCGUGGUCAAAAGGGAAACAGCCCAGACCUACAGCUAAGGUCCCAAAUUGGAUUUAAGUGGAAAAGGAUGUGCAGUUGCGCAGACAACUAGGAUGUUGGCUUAGAAGCAGCCACUCAUUCAAAGAGUGCGUAAUAGCUCACUAGUCGAGUGAUUGUGCGCCGAAAAUGUAACGGGGCUAAAAUCCAAACCGAAGCUUAGGCUUGCGCUUACUAACGUAAGACGCAGGGGUAGAUGAGCGUUGUGUAAGCCGGAGAAGCUAAAGCGAAAGCAUUAGUGGAGGUAUCACAAGUGAGAAUGCUGGAAUGAGUAGCGAGAAUUAUGUGAGAAUCAUAAUGGUCGAAAAUCUAAGGUUUCUUGAGGAAGGUUCGUCCGCUCAAGGUUAGUCGGGAGCUAAGGCGAGGCCGAAAGGCGUAGUCGAUGCACAUACGGUGGAAAUUCCGUAGCCGCCGAAAUCGUUAAGUACAGGGACACAGGGACAUAGUCGAACCCAGCCGUUGGUUGAGCCGGGCGAAAGGGAGCGAAAAUAAGUAGCGAAGUCGAUGAUUGUGCACUGGCGAGAAAAGCUGUAUGGAUUGAUAAGGCGCCCGUACCGCAAACCGACACAGGUAGAUGAGGAGAGAAUCCUAAGACCAUCGGGAGAAGUGUUGUUAAGGAACUCGGCAAAAUGACCCCGUAACUUCGGAAUAAGGGGAGCCGGUGAGAGCCGGCCGCAGAGAAUAGUCUCAAGCGACUGUUUAGCAAAAACACAGGUCUAUGCUAAAUCGAAAGAUGAUGUAUAUGGGCUGACGCCUGCCCGGUGCCGGAAGGUUAAGGGGAAGUGUUAGAGCAAUCGAAGCACUGAACUUAAGCCCCGGUAAACGGCGGCCGUAACUAUAACGGUCCUAAGGUAGCGAAAUUCCUUGUCAGGUAAGUUCUGACCCGCACGAAUGGCGUAACGACUUGAGAGCUGUCUCAACAACAUACCCGGCGAAAUUGAAGUACUGGUAAAGAUGCCAGUUACCCGUGAUUAGACGGAAAGACCCCAUGGAGCUUUACUGUAGCUUGAUAUUGGAUUUUUGUAUUACAUGUACAGGAUAGGUGGGAGACUGCGAAGCAAUGCCGCCAGGUGUUGUGGAGUCGCCGUUGGGAUACCACUCUUGAUAUGCUGGUUUUCUAACCAUCGGCCGUGAAACCGGUCGGGGGACACUGUUAGGCGGACAGUUUGACUGGGGCGGUCGCCUCCAAAAAGGUAACGGAGGCGCUCAAAGGUUCGUUCAGCACGGACGGAAAUCGUGCAGUGAGUGUAAACGCAUAAACGAGCCUAACUGCGAGACCGACGGGUCGAGCAGUAACGAAAGUUGGAGUUAGUGAU